GAAAAAAAAAAAUGGUUUCUUUAUCGAGUCUGUUUGUGUCCAUCUUAUGUCUGCUCACCGUUUCAUCUCCGGCUGAAGCUUCCUUCAGUUGCACCUCACCCGGAACUUGUGACGCCAUUAUUGACUAUACCUUACCCAACGCCACUACCUUUAAUGCCGUCAAGAAACUCUUCAACGUAAAGAACCUCCGUUCCCUUCUGGGCGUCAACAAUCUCCCUGUCAAUACCCCUGCUGAUGAGAAAUUACCCGCCAAUCAAACCAUCAAAAUCCCCUUUCCUUGUCUCUGUAGAAACGGUACCGGAAUAGCCAACAAACGCCCCAUUUACACCGUCGUCGCCGGCGACUUCCUAUCGCACAUAGUUACCGACAUCUUCGCCGGUUUGUUCACUGUUGAGGAACUUCAAAGGGUUAACAAUAUAUCUAACCCCAAUUUGAUACAACCCGGGGAUAAAUUGUGGAUCCCACUUCCUUGCAGCUGCGACGACGUUGACGGUGAAAAAGUUGUUCAUUAUGGUCGAUUGGUGAGCAGUGGCAACAGUAUUGAGGCUAUUGCUCAGCAGUACAAUGUUUCCCAGGAAACCCUCUUGAGGUUGAAUGGUUUAGCAAGUCCCAGAGAACUUUUAGCUGGUGCAGUUCUUGACGUUCCCCUUAAAGCUUGCCAAUCAAGGGUGAGCAAUGCCUCACUGGACUAUCCCUUGCUAGUGCCAAAUGACACAUAUGUCUUCACUGCUGCCAAUUGUGUAACGUGCAAGUGUGAUGCUGCCAGCAACUGGACGUUGCAAUGCCAACCAUCCCAGAUAAAGUCCUCUCUUUGGAAGACAUGCCCCUCAAUGCAGUGCCAAGGUUUAGAUAACUUGUACAUUGGGAAUGUCACAGAUUGUAAUUCCACAUCUUGUGCUUAUGCUGGUUACAGCAACCAGACCAUUUUCACCACAAACACUCAGUUAACCUGCCCUGCCUCUGACAAUAGCGCUUUCGGAAUGAGGCCAGGGACAUGGAUAUGGAAUGUCAUCCUUGUUGCCGUCUCCUCCAUGGUUAUAGUUUUUUAGGUUUACAAGUAGUCAUCCACGAACAUAAUGAUUUCUUUCUUUGUUUCCCGCCCCUCCGUGGAAUCCCGAGGGAUUGAUUUGGGAC
rnacentral:misc_RNA from 1 species